CCCUCUUCUUAGGAAACCCUAGAACUGGUGUGCAAUGUUCAAUUUGUGCAAAUUCUGCUUUGAUUCAUUAAAAUUAGGGUUUCUUCGCUUGGGGCAAGGGAUUGCAAUUUGUUUCUCUUGUGGUUUUGUUGCGCAUUUUGCUCGAGUGCUCGUGGAUUUUUGCUUUAAGUCGUAUUUUUCACGUUAACAGGGGAAUUAAAUGCAGAAAACGGGUGA
rnacentral:misc_RNA from 1 species